rnacentral:lncRNA from 1 species
UUAAUUCAAACCUUUCUUUUUUUCUGAAAUAGCUCUCACAGAAAACAUAAAAUUGUGUGUGGUCACAUGGACAUGGCUGGCUGGUUCACUCUUCUCCGACGGUAGCACAAGGCUUCGAAGAUCAGUAGCAGGAGGCGCCGAGGAGCAAGACAAGUAGCAGCGGUAACCCGUAACGGUGAUGGGCAUCGGCGAGAAGUAGCUACUGCCCAAGUGGAAGCGCG